UACGUAGGGCGCAAACGUUAUCCGGAAUUAUUGGGCGUAAAGAGCUCGUAGGCGGUUUGUCGCGUCUGCCGUGAAAGUCCGGGGCUCAACUCCGGAUCUGCGGUGGGUACGGGCAGACUAGAGUGAUGUAGGGGAGACUGGAAUUCCUGGUGUAGCGGUGAAAUGCGCAGAUAUCAGGAGGAACACCGAUGGCGAAGGCAGGUCUCUGGGCAUUAACUGACGCUGAGGAGCGAAAGCAUGGGGAGCGAACAGG
rnacentral:rRNA from 1 species